rnacentral:rRNA from 1 species
UUAAGAGAAAUUUUAUGAAUUGACAUAUGCGAAGUAGAGUUAUCGAACUAAAAUAUUAUUAUUGUCUUUAAAGAUGGAUGGAAUUAAUUUUAUAGAAUAGGUUAGCGCUGAUACUUUUUGCAUCAUGGCUUAUAGAGUGAAGUAAGUUUGGUUUUUUCCCGAAAGCCCUGGAUCUAUCUUGGUUGAGGCAUGUAAAGUUAAGAAUGAGCUUAGGGUAGGGUAACGGUUUGCGGGAUGUUAGGCCGUGUAAAAGUUCUCUUUUUUGUACGCAAUGUUGCAGUAUUGCGAGAGUAAGCUAAGAUGGUGUGAUAUGCUAUUCGAAAGGGCUGAUAGCUGGUUGGAAAGGAAAUACAUCUAAGUGUAGGCAGGCUCAUUAGGCUGCAUAAGUUUAAAUUUAACAGUAUGUGGCUGGGUCGGUCUGAUAUAGCUGAGGGUUAUCUCAACUAUAAUAAGGGUCUAUAAUUUUCAUUUCGAAGUAGGGUUUGAAUUGCCUUUCUUUAAGAAUUUGAUUUAAAGCAUUUUUGUUUACAAACAUUGGUUAGGUACUUUUCAAUUCCAUAUAACAUUUAUGGAUAUACUAGUAUAAGAUUAGUAAUAAAAUUUGGUAGCAGAAGUAUUAGUUUAAGAACGGUUGGGUGAGUGUGAGCAAUGGAAGCCAACAGGCCCUUCAUUUUAGAAUUUUAUGAGAAUAUUGGAGAUAUGGUUUGAAUUACAAGAAGUGAUUUUAAUGAACUCGGCAAAUAAUUUCUGCACCUGUUUACUAAAAACAUGGCCUUCUGUUGUUUGAAGAAAGGGGGUCUGACCUGCCCGGUGGAAUUAACUAAACGGUUGCAGCUACAACUGUACGAAGGUAGCGUAAUAGGUCGUCCUUUAAUUGGGGGAAAGUAUGAAUGGUCGAAUGUGGAAAGGCUUUAUUAAAAUCAAUUUGUGAAUUUUACUUUUUAGUGCAAAGGCUGAAAUAAAAUUAUUAGACGAGAAGACCCCAUCGAGCUUGGUUACUUAUACUAUUUUUUAUAUGUGAGGAUGUUUUGUCGGGGCUGAUAGGGAGGGAAAGAAUGCCUCCUUUGUUAAUAUGAAGAUCCGGCAUUAGGCCGAUUGGAAGAAGAUAGUUACCGUGGGGAUAACAGCGCAAUGUUCCCAUUAAGCACAUAUUUGAGGGGGCGGUUGCGACCUCGAUGUUGAAUCAGGAUUAUCUAUUAGGUGCAGCAGCUUAGUAAGUGGGACUGUUCGUCCUUUGAAAUCCUACGUGAUUUGAGUUUAGACCGGCGUGAGCUAGGUCGGAUUCUAUCUAUAAGUUAAAGGUUCUUAGUACGAAAGGAUCGGAGUCUUCGGGUGGUCUGAAAAGCUUAUAAUUGAGCUUAUAGACAAAAUUUGUUUAA